rnacentral:ribozyme from 14 species
AGGAAGAAAUAAGAGAGGGCAAGCGGAAUAAAGACGAGACAAAGGAUGAAAAAGAUCUUAUGUGGGCUGUCUUUUCAACUAAUUUUCUGAUUGGUUUUCCUUUGUCUUUCG